rnacentral:rRNA from 1 species
GAUGAACGCUGGCGGCGUGCCUAAUACAUGCAAGUCGAGCGAACAGACGAGGCUCUUGCGCCACUGACGUUAGCGGCGGACGGGUGAGUAACACGUGGAUAACCUACCUAUAAGACUGGGAUAACUGCGGGAAACCGGAGCUAAUACCGGAUAAUAUAUUGAACCGCAUGGUUCAAUAGUGAAAGACGGUUUUGCUGUCACUUAUAGAUGGAUCCGCGCCGCAUUAGCUAGUUGGUAAGGUAACGGCUUACCAAGGCAACGAUGCGUAGCCGACCUGAGAGCGUGAUCCGCCCCUCUGGAACUGAGACACGGUCCAGACUCCUACGGGAGGCCGCAGUAGGGAAUCUUCCGCAAUGUGCGGAAGCCUGACGGAGCAACGCCGCGUGAGUGAUGCAGGUCUUCGUAUCGUAAAACUCUGUUAUUAGGGAAGACCAAAUGUGUAAGUAACUAUGCACUUCUUGACGGUACCUAAUCAGAAAGCCACGGCUAACUACGUG